GAGAUGUUAGUAAAAUAAUUACAUAGUCUUGUCAAGACUAUAUUACCGGUGAAAACCCAGUACAUCUCA
rnacentral:tRNA from 1 species